CUGGGACCAUGGAGCUGCCCUCAAACAGCACAAGGGAGUAAAGUGGAGUCAGUAAGGUCCCCUGAACUCAGUACUUGGCUCAAGCUUGGUGCUAAGAAAAUGGUUGAAGGGGCCAGGUCCCCAACUGCUGCAAAUUAGCAUAGCAUCAGCAA